rnacentral:rRNA from 1 species
CCUACGGGGGGCUGCAGUGGGGAAUAUUGCACAAUGGGGGAAACCCUGAUGCAGCGACGCCGCGUGAGUGAAGAAGUAUUUCGGUAUGUAAAGCUCUAUCAGCAGGGAAGAAGAAAGACGGUACCUGACUAAGAAGCCCCGGCUAACUACGUGCCAGCAGCCGCGGUAAUACGUAGGGGGCAAGCGUUAUCCGGAUUUACUGGGUGUAAAGGGAGCGUAGACGGCAGCACAAGUCUGGAGUGAAAUACCGGGGCUUAACCCCGGAACUGCUUUGGAAACUGUGCAGCUAGAGUGCAGGAGAGGUAAGUGGAAUUCCUAGUGUAGCGGUGAAAUGCGUAGAUAUUAGGAGGAACACCAGUGGCGAAGGCGGCUUACUGGACUGUAACUGACGUUGAGGCUCGAAAGCGUGGGGAGCAAACAGAAUUAGAUACCCUAGUAGUC